rnacentral:rRNA from 1 species
UAAGGAAUAUUGGUCAAUGGACGAAAGUCUGAACCAGCCAUGCCGCGUGGAGGAUGAAGGUCCUCUGGAUUGUAAACUUCUUUUAUAUGGGACGAAAAAAGGCCUUUCCAGGUCGUCUGACGGUACCAUAUGAAUAAGCACCGGCUAACUCCGUGCCAGCAGCCGCGGUAAUACGGAGGGUGCAAGCGUUAUCCGGAUUCACUGGGUUUAAAGGGUGCGUAGGUGGGUUGGUAAGUCAGUGGUGAAAUCCCCGAGCUUAACUCGGGAACUGCCAUUGAUACUAUCAGUCUUGAAUACCGUGGAGGUCAGCGGAAUAUGUCAUGUAGCGGUGAAAUGCUUAGAUAUGACAUAGAACACCAAUUGCGAAGGCAGCUGGCUACCCGAAUAUUGACACUGAGGCACGAAAGCGUGGGGAUCAAACAGGAUUAGAUACCCUGGUAGUCCACGCCCUAAACUAUGAGUGCUAGACGUUGGGAAGCCUAGCUUUCCGGUGUCGC